GUAGGCAUGCCUUAUCGCUGAUAUUGUGCAGCAUUUUGUUGAUGCCAAGCUGGAUUUUGAUGCGUCCUAUGUGUAUGAAGAUGUAAAUCAUGCAAUUCAGCAUGAUCAUAGAAGCGGUUUGGCACAUAAAGAAAUUAUUGCUGAUCCACAUAAGUACCUAGUUAAAAAUAGCCAACUGUUAUGUUUUCUAAAGAUGCUAAAGCAGAAGGGAAAGAAACUCUUCCUGCUAACCAAUUCUCCAUAUUCUUUUGUGGAUGGCGGAAUGCAUUUCAUGUUAGAGAUAAAUAGGACUGCAAGGAGCAAGGAGCUUGACUUACCCCAGGGUUUGGGAUUCACUGAAUAUAAUUGCAC